rnacentral:rRNA from 1 species
UACGGGGGGGGCAAGCGUUGUUCGGAAUUACUGGGCGUAAAGGGCUCGUAGGUGGCCAACUAAGUCCGACGUGAAAUCCCUCGGCUUAACCGGGGAACUGCGUCUGAUACUGGAAGGCUUGAGUGCGGGAGAGGGAUGUGGAAUUCCAGGUGUAGCGGUGAAAUGCGUAGAUAUCUGGAGGAACACCGGUGGCGAAGGCGGCAGCCUGGACCGACACUGACGCUGAGGCGCGAAAGCUAGGGUAGCAAACGGG